AGCAAGGAGUUCCUGCAAAAUAAAUCGCACUUGCUAUCACGGGGAACGUGAACCGGCUUCUAAUACAGAAAAAGGCUCCAAUGGCAAGAAUUCAUUAAAUCACAAGAAACAUCGUUGCCAAAAAUAAACCAUAACUUCGAUCCUUUGUUUAUUAGCCGCUCUGUCGUCUACGUUCUAUGGCUGUAAGUCGACAACACAGAUCACUUGAAUCUACAAUUCUAUUUGCCAUUAUCGUCUGCUUUACUCUACAAGGCUACAUGGAGACUGGUAAGACUCAAAUAUGAAUCCAGAAUGAUAGACAAAAUCAAAUGACGUAAUUCGAAAGAUUCUUCCAAACCCAGCGCCGACAUACGCUGGCAGACAAAACGACGAAUUUGAAGAUAAAUACACACUGCAUCUCGCAAGGUCAAUGGAGGCAAUAUCAAAAGUAAUUUUUCAGGAACUUACUAUUUACAUAUGAAGGUGAAGACUUGAUGAUCUUUGCAAUAGAACUGCCAAGAACUGACUGGGCAUCAUUGAAUAUGAUUGAUAUACAGUAGGAGGUUGUUACACCAAAGGCUAAAGAGUAAGCCAAACGGUUCUCAUAGCCAUCCAGAAGAUUGAGUGGA